GCUUCUUUGUUCCCUCAUGUGAAGACGCGUGUACACAGAACAAUACUUUUCUUGUUCCAGCAGGUUCCAUAUUUCUUUCACUCCAUAUUUUGUGUCGUCUCUUGUAUUCGUCCUCCACUUCUAGGUGGUUUCUAAUUUUCGACUCUUCAUCUCAAUGGUUACAUCUGGCUAAUGAACCCAAGCUGUUCGGUAAUAUGCCUGAGACAGCUAAAUUAUUUGGGUGAAUUUGGUAGAGUAUAAGCAAAAUCCAAAUGUUAAUUACGAAGACGAGGAACCAAAAUACUUACGUUGGUGUUUCUUUUGCGUGGUUGCAAUACAACUUGUGAAGAAUUCUUGUGUUGUUUUGUUUUUAGUUUAUUUUCCUUGUGUCAUCUUUGAUUUAUAGCAUUACUGAGGUAACAGCAUGUUGGUUUCAAGGGUGCUAGCAAAAUUGUUGCUUGUUCUCCGUCUGCCGAAGUUGGUUAGUCCUUUUGACAAUUUUACGCUCUCUCCAUCUGUGGUUUUCUUAUUGACGAGUUUGUGUCAGUGUUUUCCAUUCUGUAAUUUCAUUAUUCUUUGUUUUUAUGUCUUUACCAUAUUAAUUCUUAACUGAUCUUGAUCAUUUUAAACUCGAUUUCUUUCAUCUGCAUUGCUUGAUUUGGGUAAGUUGUACUGGGUUUUAGUUAUUCUUGUUAGUGUGUUAGUAAUAUUUAUUUUCCCAUGUUAAUCAAUUAGCAUUACAUAUAAACAAAAUGGAAGAAAUUGUAUGGAAUCAGAGGAGAAUUUAGAGCACCAGUGCAAAUACUGGCCCUAAUUGAGAAAGAAGAAGUAAGAAAAGCAGGCAACCAAAGAACAUGAAGGGUGGCCUUCUUUCCUUACUAUCCAUAGGGGAAUCAAGACAUGCCAUCAGAUUACUACUAUUUUGCCCUUCAGGUACCAUGAAAAUAAGGUGAUAAAAAUUAUUUUUGAGCUUACUUUUGUAUCCCUUGUUUAUAUUAAACAAUUGAAUAAAUUUGAAGAAUCGUGGGAAGAAGAACUGUUGAGCAUUCAAAUUGCUCUUGAUUCACUGGUGCCUCAUCUUCUUGGAUGAUUAAAAGAUGCUACUAUAUGCAUUUAAGUUUAAACCUUAGCAUCUUUAUGCAUUUAUUACUCUUUUAUGAGGUUUGUGUUUAUUAAUCUUUUUUAAGAGAGUUAAAGGUGGACUUCUUUUCCUUAUUGAGAUGUUUCUAUAAAUGACCAUGAAGAAAGAAGGUGCUUAUGGCUAAAAUUUUUGUAAGAAGACUUGAAAAGUCGACAUUCCCUAUACAUAGAGUAAUCUAUUCUCUAUUAAGAAGGUAGUUAUACACAAACACUAAUGUCAUCAAUUUAAUUUAUAUGGCUCGUGUAUGUUUUUCGAGGAGCUAAAUUUUUUGAAAGCCUUUAAUAUUCGUAACUACUGUAACUUCUCCAGCUCUACUUUUGAGACUUCAAGUUCAAUGAAAGUGUACUGGAACUACAUUGUCUUUAAAAUUGUAGCACCACUUGAAAAGUCGACAUUCCCUAUACAUAGAGUAAUCUAUUCUCUAUUAAGGAGGUAGUUAUACACAAACACUCAUGUCAUCAAUUUAAUUUAUAUGGCUCAUGUAUGUUUUUCGAAGAGUUAAAUUUUUUGAAAGCCUUUAAUAUUCGAUAACUACUAUAACUUCUCCAGCUCUACUUUUGAGACUUCAAGUUCAAUGAAAGUGUACUGGAACUACAUUGUCUUUUAAAUUGUAGCACCAAAAUGAUAGACUUUAUAAGUGAUUCGAUGAUGGUUACUGGGCUGUUAAAGGUAAUAUAGUUUUCAUAACUGUUUGGUUGAGUUAUCAGGCUACAACAGAGACAUUUCCAAUAAAAAGAUGACCAAUAUGUUAAUGCAUAAAGAUUAAGAUGAUUCUAAUUGGAUAGGUUAGAGAUUAAAAGAAUUAAGUAAACAAAAAUGAGAAGAAAGAGAUAACUGGUUGAUACAAAAUUUGUUUCAUCAACCAAAUCCCGCUGAAGAAAAUUGAGGAUUAAUCCUUUGUGGUAAUAUUUGUAGCUUGAUGACAAUUCUAAAACUCUGGUAAUGCACAAGCAACAAUAAGCCGCCUCUUAAUGAAUAAGUACCCUAACUCAAAGCUAUUUUCAUAUGAGAAUUCCAAUUUUUUAAAGAUAUUGCAUCUUCUGUGAACAGAAGAAAUUACUACGUCGUACAAAUUCUUCUAUCAACUUGACCCUGAGAGAAUUGCGGAACUACUAAACAUUUUGUAAAGUCUCCGCCAAUAGUUGUUCACUGUCUGGCGAUACUUGAAAUGGUUUCAGUUAAUUACUUUUUUGAGCUUUUUCUUUCAGGGGAAAUGUGAUAUAGAUGCAGGUUUUCAAUAGUAAUAUGCCUUAUUUUGUCGACAUAAUGUGGGGUUUGCUGUUUCUUUGUCCUAUUCUUCGGCUUACUGACUGCUCAAUGUAUGAUGGCUAUUAUUUUAUUUUUCUUGUUUAGGGAUGGAGACCAGCCAUCACUGUGAAACAGAUACUGAUUGGUAUCCAGGACUUGUUAGAUCAGCCAAAUCCAGCUGAUCCUGCCCAAACUGAAGGGUAUCAUAUGUUUAUUCAGGCACUGUUGGCAUUUCAAGAAAAUGAGUAGUGAAGA